rnacentral:pre_miRNA from 1 species
GGAAAUGGGCCUAAAUUCGUGACUCCACCAAAAAAUUCAAAAAUUGACCCAAAAUCCCUCGAUAGUCGAAAUUUCACUAUGAAAACCUUAAAUUGGCUAUAUCUCAUAGUGAAAUUUCGACUUUUGAUGGAUUUUAGGUCAAUUUUUGAAUUUUUUGGCGGAGUCGCGAAUUAAGGCCCAUUUCC